UCGAUUGAGCAUUAGAUGGACUUGGAUGAUGGUGAAAAACUGUUGUAGGCCUCGAACUUGAGCUUGCCACCGUACUCCUCGGGGAGCUGGGACUCGUCAAUGGCGUCUCUAAGCGUGGCGUCGAGGUCCCUAUCAGCGACGAACACAAACUUCUUCUUGGUCUUGUCAUCAAUAAAGGGGUACACCAUCUUCCAUGCAGCCAUGAAUAUUUAGGGCACGUGGAUCAGUAACACCCGGCCCACCCUCUCCGGGUAAUAGCUCUGCAUGAUGUCCAGCCCUGCCAGGUACCCCCGCAUGUCGCAGUUCGCGUACCCCCAUCCCUUCAGGUCUAUCACUACCGCAAACUUCUCCUGUCCUGCAGACAGCCUACAACGAUUCAGACAAACCCAUCAGUUAACCACUCGAUCAAUCUACUAUUAGCUAGCUAGUUAGCAGACUGUGAAUGCAUGCAAAACUGAUGGAUCUAUCUGGGUCCAUACCUGGUGCAGCUUUUCUCAAAAGCGUAGGCCACGUAGCGCUUGAGAUCUUCGUGAUCACCCUGGACGGGGAAGUGGUGCCCACCAUAGAGAUACGACAUGGGGCGACCAAGACGGUCAAAACCCUGGUGGCGGUCUCUUCCCUUUGUGAUCUCGCCCCGCACCUCGUCGUCCGAGAUGAAGCCAUGGGGCAGGGUGACACGCUUCCAGGCAAGGUACCGGAGAAGCAUCGCCGACGCCUUUUGUAUGUUGUGCUCCCGGGCACGCAGGAACUUCCGCAGCGUGAAGUCAUCCUCCUCCUGCACACGAAUGAUAGCGAUAGAUGAACAAUUGGAUCAUCAUCCAGGUGUGCAUACAUGAUUGGAAGGCAGGUUCUAUGAACAUCGUGCACACACAUGGCGUUUCAUUCGGAGGAUUGUGCCAAUAUUCUCUGGAUUUGCAUCGAUCCCCAAUUCGGAAACGAGGAAACCGAUUAACUUUCUGCCUGGGACUCCGAAUGUGCACUUUGAUGGAUUGAGUUUGAUAUCAUAUCUUGUUAAGUUGGCAAAGGUUUCAGCCAGGUCAUUCAGCAGGUCGGAACCUUUGCGUGACAUGACCACUAAGUCAUCCAUGUAUGCUUCCACAUUCCGACUGAUUUGAGUGACCAGGCACUUUUAAAUCAUGCGCAUGAAAGUGGCACCGCCAUUCUUGAGGCCAAAGGGCAUGGUGACAUAGCAAACGCAUCCGAAUGGGGUGAUGAAAGUUGUUUUUAUCUCAUUGGGUCCAUACAGACGGAUCUGAUGGUACCCGGAAUACGCAUCCAAAAAGGGCAAGCGCUCACAUCCCACAGUUUAGUCGACUAUUUGGUCGAUGCGGGGCAGAGGGAAAUGAUCUUUUGGGCAGGCCCGAUUGAUAUGCUUGAAAUCAAUACACAUACGAAGUGACUUAUCUUUCUUGGGGACCAUGACGAUGUUGGCGGGCCUCUUCUUCACCAAUCGCAUUCCUCUUCUCCAUGGCGAACCGACAGAGAUGCUCUUUAACAGGUUUUGCUUUUGGGUCGACUCACAAACGGUGCUCAGCAAGUCCCCUGGGUACACCUGGAAUGUCUGAUGGUUUCCAUGCGAAGAUGUCCCAGUUCUCACGGAGGAACUGGAUGAAUGCUUCUUCCUAUUUUUUGUCGAGUGUUGUUGAAAUAUGGGUCGGACCAGAGUUUGUAUCGGUCGGGUGAAUGUGAACUGUCUUUGUUUCACCUGCCGACUAAAAUGCAGACUGCGAGGCGGUAUUUUUGGAGCGCAACAAAUCACUCGGAUCUACAUUCUUUUGGUACUCUUGAAACUCCACUGCUGCAAUCUGAUCAUCAGCAAUCUUACAACCUUUCUGGAAGCAAUCUUCUACCCUUUGUUGACUCCCAAUGACCGUGAUCACGCCUUUGAGGCUGGGCAUUUUUAUCUUGAGGUAUACAUAACAUGGUCGAUCCAUGAAACGAGCAUAUGCAGGUCGACCCAAAAUGGCAUGGUACUCACUUUUGAAAUCCACUACCUCAAAGGUCAACUUCUCCUUGCGAUAAUUCUUCUCAUCGCUGAAAACCACGUCAAGAGUGAUUUGGCCGAGUGAAUAGCCUUUCUUUCCUGGGAUGACUCUGUGGAAUCGUAUGUUGCUUUCACUGAGCUUGGACAUCGGGAUGCCCGUCCCUUUGAGGGCCUCAGCGUAUAGGAUAUUCAGACCACUACCACCGUCCAUAAAAACCUUGGUCAAUCGAGUGCCCCCAACGACUGGGUCGACCACCAGCGCUUGCCGCCCAGGGGUGGCAAUGUGUGCUGGGUGGUCAGAUUGGUCGAAUAGUAUGGGGUUUUUUGACCACUUCAAGUAUGUUUUCGUUGCUGGGGCAACCAUGUUUACUUCCCUGUUGAUCACUUUCAAUCAACUUUUUCUAUCGACGUUAGCAAAAAUCAUCAAAGUGGCAUUGACAUUGGGAAAACCAUCAUCCUCGUCCUUGUCGUCUUCCUUAUCCUACUCUUUUUCCUUCUCACUAGGCUGACCUUUCUCACGGAAACUCUGGAUCAGGAGUCGACACUGUCGAGUGGUAUGCUUGGGGAGAAUCAGAUUCCCCUCUGCAUCCUUUUUGGUGUAUAUAUGACACGGCAAAUCAAGUACAUCAUUCCCAUCUUGAUACUUCACUUUAAUAGGGUUCCAGGUCCGCUUGGGCUUCCCUUUGAACUUUCCCUGGUUCAACAUUGUUGCCUCAGCAGGGCAUGCUGCCUCAGCCUUUUGCUUCUACUUUAGACUGGAAUUCCCACCUCUGGUGUCUUGGGCGACUGACUUGUGCUUGCCGCUCCGAAGUCGGUCUUCUUCUUCGCCGAUAGCACAUUUUGUGGAAAUCUCCAUCAUCCAAGCCAGAGACAUGUCUCUAGUCCGACCGAACUUUAGAUUGAGCUCUCUGUAGCGAACGCCUUCUUUGAAGGCAUAGACUGCUUGGUGAUCAGAUACAUUUCUCCACUAUGUGAUGCAGAGUGAUCCACCUCUGGAUAUAAUCUCUCAACGUCUCAUUCGGUUUCUGCACUCAAUGCUGUAGUUUCGACAAACCAGCAGGUCUCUUCUUAGUACCCUCAAAUGUUUUGGUAAACACUCGGGCCAACUCAUCCUAACUGAGAAUGCUUCCAAGGGCCAACUGGUUCUGCCAAGCUCUGGCAGAACCUUCGAGCAUCAAAGGGAGAUGCUUCAUGGCCACCUCAUCACUGCCGCCACCAAUAUGCACAGCCACUCGGUAAUCCUCCAACCAAAUGUCGGGCUUCGACUCUCCUGUAAACUUGCUGACGCCUGUAGCCAGUCUGAAGUUGUGAGGGAGCUCAGCGGCUCGGAUGGCUCUUCCGAAACACUCAGGGCCAGAAACGUGAACCCUGCUUCCACUAGACCUGUCUCUAUCCAGCCCCUCUCUGUAUGCUCUCUUCCGAUCGACCAAACCCUGUACAAGGACUGACCUUGCAUCGAACCCAGGCUCUCUAGGGUUGACUAGAACUCUGCGGUCAUUACCGUACGGGCGCCAGUCGUCGUACAGCCGGGGUGCGUACGACCCAUCCCUCGGAAGGGGCGAAGGCACUCGCCGGUGAUGGUCACGGGCGUACUCACGAUCAAACUCUCCAUGAGCUCUUCCCAGGUGCCGAUCUCAGCGGUGAUCACGCUCUUCACACAGCAAACGUGAGUGUGCCGACUGGACUGUAUCUGCCCUUACUAACUUGAUGUGCAUCCUGUUCCGUGACUGGAAAACAACGGAGUUCAGCUCUCCUGCCGCUCGGAGCAGCGCUCGGAUCUGUUCCAAGCCCCUCCUAUGAACGGGACGACUGAAUAGAAUCUGCUAUACGCGUAGCAGCUGCAAGAUUCUGGAUCGGUGUACGGAAUACCUGAGGUUUAAGAGGAAACAAUUAUCGUGGAUGUCGACUAAAUUCAGGGAUCAGUCAACGGGCACGUUCGUCGAGAGAAUGUUAGAGAUUCUCCAAACGGGCGCGCUCAGCCAACGUGGCCAGGCGCAAUGCCUCUAAGGCCCGAGCCUCGGUGGUUUCCCGAUGAUGGGGGUCUGAAGGGCCUCCACAUUGUGGCAGUGCAGCUCCUCCCUCUACUACGGAUUGAGAGGUUGGGGCUCGUACUCCUCGUGGUCGAAUGACGCGCCAUCGCCGCCACCGUUGCCGCUGCUACGGCGAAACUUAGGCGGACAGCGAUAGGAAUCGACCAUGAGGACUUCUGCCACGGGGUCACAACUCCCGCUCUCAGAAAGAGUAUCUGCACACCCAGUCGACAGGUCAACUGGACUGCAGUGAAAUUCCCCGGGCUCGAUUUCCGCGACUUGGGCGGGGGGGUGGCCAUCUGGUGAGCCACCGCAUGCCUCACCCAUCGCUGGAGCUGCGACCGACCAGAUCGCUUGUGGCAAUGUCCAGCAGAGUGAGUAGGCGACAUGAAAGCCGACCGAUACGGAGUCGACAGCUGUCGUAGGAGGACGCCGCAGGCACUCGCGCGGAAAUGCAAAGAUCCAUGGAUUAGGAGAGCCUUGACGUCGAGGGGAGCUUCCUGAAGCCAGGCGGAGUUGUCAGCGACAAAGUGAGUGCACCGAGUCGGAACUCGCGACCCAUGAUCAAACCGCCGCCGGAAACCAUGCUGAUGAAGAUCGGAGAAAACAUAACCUCGCCGGAAGUUUCUAAGACGCUUUGCCCCAUGGUGGGCGCCAACUGUCAUGGUACUAAGUAUGGCAGUAAGAAUAGGGGGUAUGUAUGAGGAGGCGAGGUCCAAGCUACUGCGAGGUUGUACACACGAGUUUACGAGUUCAGGCCCCUCUCGGAGGAGGUAAAAGCCCUACAUCUCGGUGCCCUGAGGUGGUGGACUGGAAUAUGGAUGUGUGUGUUACAAGGGGUGCGAACCCUUGUCCCAGAGGAGGGGGUGGCUUAUAUAGAGUGGGCUAGGAUCCCAGUCGUCCCUGUUACAGGGUUCAAUGUACAUUAAGAUAGAGCGUUACUGAUAACGCCAGCUAUGAAGUGCGUCAUCAAUGGUCUUUAAGACUACAGAGUGAAUGCCUGACCAUUGCCAUCCCGAGUGGUUCUAGGUCUUCUAUACUCCGAGUGGUUCCCUGUAUGGUCGAAUGACUCCAUCCAUGUCUAGUGAAAUUGGAGGUAUCCGAGUGAGGUGACUGGUAAAGUGGAUUGCACUCGAUGGCUUCAGUUGAUACUCCUUGUUAUAUCUUGAACGUCCUUGAUUCUAGGGUAGUGACCUUGGGUAGGGAGUAUAGGUCAGGUCUAUGACCCUACCCUAGGUCUAUGGCAUCCUCAUUAGCGCCCGAAUGGAUUGAGGUCCGAGUGAAAAGAAAGUUGAAGUUGACCCUGUCUUAACCCCUAUGCUUCAUAAGCAUCCUUGACGAGCUCAAGAUUCCUGCUGAGACUUUGACUUCAUUUCAGUUGCCUUGAUCGAUUCAAAGGUCAUCGAGUGAAUUUGUACUGAUAAUCUUCGAGUGUCGUAAUGGUGCGAAAUCUUCGGCGCGAUUGGUUACUGUCGUUCCCGGAUCUCACGGGAUUCAAAAAUUUGGGAAAGCGCGUGAGGUAGGGAGCACCACACUCAACGGGAUGGAUAGACACGGGCGCCUCGAUUUCCACGCCACCUUUUUCGCCACGUAUCUGGCGCGCGGCUGUUGUGGGAUUUGACAGAUUUGCUCGGGCCCACGCGCCAACCACUCGAAAGUAGACCCUUAAAAGGCGUCGAGGCCGAGGCGUCUGCAUUGUGCGCUUCUAUUCCCCUUCUUCCUCUGCCUCUCCACCGCAUCUCCUUUCACCCUCGACACCGCCGCUCCGCCAGUGCGCAGCCCUCCACCAUGGUGAAGGACAAGACGGCGGCGCUGGAGCGCGCAGGAAAGGCGAUGGAGACGGCGAAGGGCAAGAAAAUGAAUCGGGGGUCAUCGUCGAGGUCCACGCUGCCGCCGGGUUGGACUCAGGGAGACUGGAUCCGAUCUACACUCCGGCCCAAUGAUCUAGAGGAUCUGGCCUCCACUGGUUUGACCAGCGUCGGGGCUGCGAGGUUGAGGGAGGAUGAGAGGGAGCCUCAGCCGUGGGCGGGUGAGUGUGUCCUCCUCUCUACACAUGUGGAUUGUGGAUUCUCCCUUCCCCCGCACCCUUUCUUUGGUUUUUUUUGAACUUCUUUGGCGCCUAGCUUCAUCACUUCUCUCCCAAUACCAUUACAUAUCUCGCUGCGUUAGUGUCCAUGUGCGAAAACUUCCUUGGCUAUAGACUGCAUUGGGGGCUUUUCAAACAUAUUUUCACCAUACGUUCCCAAACUUUGAAGAAGGCAAAGUCGACUGACGAAAGAACGAACGUGAUUCAGAUGUUCGGGGGUUUAGGGAUUCAGAUGAGAAAGAGUAGCACUUUUCCUCCCAUGACUCCUCCUGAGUCGGUUAGGGGCUGGCAGUCGACCUGGUUCUACUGCGAGGACAUUCCGACUCCGGGUCACCCGACCGGCCUUCCUCCCUUCACCCUAGAUUGAGUCCAACAAACUUCUUCAUUGAUUGUUACCACAACGGAGAAGGUAGAGACAAACAUGUUGGUCGAGAGAGUAGUCCAGUUGGUCCGUCAGGGCGUAACUGGCAUGGACUUGUUGGAGGUGUUUCUCAGUCGAUGCAUCCAGCCGCUCCAAGCCCGUGACUACUCGAUGUGGAUGUACUCGGGCUCCAACGAUAUCGCUCGGGUCCAUCCAGAGGAGGUUCCCGGCGAGAUGGUGGCUCUGUGGCUGAAGAGAUUUACCGGAAACAAAGACAACCCUAGGGGAGCCAGGACAGUCGAUCCAUUCGACACAGAGAACUAGCCGGACAAGGUCCAAUCCUUUUUACCGAGUGUACUUUAUUCUGUCUUGUAACUGUAUUAGAAUCUGACUGAUGUUUGAUUGAUCUCCCGCCUUGCAGGUUUAUACUGAGAUGUACUCGAUGAACAAGCCCAGGAGCAAGUCCAGGAGGGACCAGACAGCACGGAAGAGAGCAGCGAAUGGCAAUCCUCUGAUGACGAUGAUGAAGAAGAGAGUGACGAAUCGGACAAUGAAGAGGAGGUCGACUCACCACCUCGCACCAAGCGCCGAUCCAAGCAGUUCCACUAUCCAGCGGGCGGGCAUGGCAAGACCGUGGCUCCGAGUACGUAAGAAAAUAAGUGCACUCGGACUUCGACUCUGGAGCCAUCAGAGAAGGGUGCCAAGAAGCCCAAGGUUGCUCCUCCAAAGUCUCGGAAGACUUUGCCCAAGAUCAAGAUGGAUGUUCCUGUUCCUUCUGCGUGAGUGCUUUAUCUUUUUGUGUUUCCCUACAGACUCAUUCUUCUGUUUUGACCGACUGGGUUAUGAUCUCUUCAGUGCCGCAACUUCCGGAACCUCCAUGUAUAUUGACAGAACCCCAGGUGAUGAAGAGACUGAAGAUGCGGCAACUUCCAAAGCUGGUAUGACCCUGCAAUCUUAAACUUGUGCUGUCGACUAUGCUGUCGAUUGAGUUGUCCGUCGAUUGAACCCCUAUGGUUGCUUUUUUUUGUAGCUCCGUGGGACAUCAUUGAGCUUCGAGACAACGAGGAAGAAGUGCCUCUGAAGACUACGGGGAUGAAAGGCAGGGCUUCGAGCAGGAGUACGGCCGUAGGCCAGGAGCCUCAGUCGACAUCGACGCCGGAGGCAGUGGUCCCGUGAUCCGGAGAUCCGGCUCAGGCCAGUGUUUCUUUUGCCAAUCCGUUAUCGACUGAACGUCCCCUGUGCAGCUCCAUUCUUCGGAUCCUGUGGUUACUCCGACUAGAUUACCAUCAUCGCUCUUUGCUACAUAUCGUACUCCAGACGACCCGGCGAGUGCCGCCAGGGAUGCCCUUCUCCAGGAAAACCUUGUGAUGGGGCAGAUGAAGGUGGUGCACGAGGCCCGUCAGGUUGCCUACAAUGCCAGUGCUGCACUGCAAGUCAAUGUCAAGGUCAGUUGGUUUCCGACUGGUUUCUGGAUUAGUGGUAGUUGCAACUGUUGCUUCAUUGCUCGUAAGGUGUUUCUGGAUGAGCGUUUUAGGACCUUUAUGUGCAUCUAUCAUGGGUCUGUAUUUCGCAUCCAAUCACCCACUUGGUGUUUUGACUUAGUGUUGAAUUGCAUUUCCGCUUGAGUCGACCAUGUUGAGUCGAGUAUUUUUCCGAACCAGUGGGGGCACGUAGAAUGCACCCACUGGGUGUAGUCCCCAAGACCACCGUCAGGUGAUUGACGCGGCGGGGGUCUUUGUCGAAUGAUGUUCCGUUGUUCUUUCACUCGGGUGAAUAGAUCGAUCCGAGUGGAAUCCAGACUAGUGGGGGCACACUGAGUGCACCCACUGGGUGUAGUCCCCGAGACCGCGGUCGACUACUGGUAGUUGGCUGGGGUCUGAGAAUCUCUUUUUUUGCAUACUCAUGCCGGGCGGACCAUGUAGAGUGAAAAACCGGACUAGUGGGGGCACGCCAAGUGCACCCACUGGGUGUAGUCCCUGAUACUACUGUUGAAUGUUUGAUUCGGCGGUAGUCUUAGAGAAAUUUCCGCUGUGACUGACCUUUGUUUCUGUCGACUCACAUAUCUUAUUUGCUGACCGCAGAAAUCUUGUGAUCUUGGAGCCCAAUUUUCUGAACUUGAGAAGAAGCAGAUCAGCCUCAACUUCGACCUCGAGUUGGCCAAGAAGAACCUUCAGAAGGCCCAGGAAGAAGCAACUACCAUGGGAGGUAAUAAGUCAUCUACUGUCCUCCUUAUGAUGAUUUUUUCUUUUAGUCUCUUGAACCGAGUGACUUCACUCGAAUAGAUGUGCGUAGUGAAAACCGACAACUCCAAGCUCAUCUGAAGAAUGUUAUUUCUUUAGAUAAAAUGAAGGAGGCUCUAGAGAAGAAGGAUCAAGACCUUGUCGCAUCGCAGAAGGAGGCGCGAGAGAAAAUAACACUCGCAGAUAAGAAGCUGGCCUAAGUCAGCAAGUUAGAAGAGGAGAACUCCAAGCUAAAGACUGCUGGUGCUGAGGCCAACCAGGAGGUUGAGAAGCUGAAGAAGGACAAGGAGACCCUGACUGACAAGGUUGGAAGUCUCACAGCGAAGAAGGGCGAACUGGAAGCUUAUCUGGGACAGCUUGCUGGGAAACUGGUCUUGAAGCUUGAAGAUAUUUCUUCUUAUCUGACUGGUUUGUCGAUGUCGGCUGACACAUCUUAUUUAACUAUCGACUCACCGAUUUUAUGACUGCGCAGAACUUUGCCAAGACUUAGAAGCGGAGACUGGGCAGGUUGUCUCGACCCCAUAAACUCACCCGUCAAUGAUGAUGUCGCGAUGAACAUGCUGCGGUUGGAGUCUCGUCUAGACAAUGCUGUGGACUAUCUUGCUCGUUUGAAGGUGGCAAUGACGCGGAUUGACACUGAACUCUGGCCCCAGCUGGAACUCCAGAAUGAUAUCGAGUCUGUGAUGGCUCGACUGAAUGAAAUCCCUGGUCGAGUGCAAGAGCAGAAUAAGUUGUCUGCUCGCUGCGGCGCUGACGUGGCUCUGUCGUUGGUCCGACUCCAUUGCAAGGAUGUUAGAGAAGACAAGCUGGCGGCUCUCAAGGUUUCCAACACUAAGAAGCUCAGCUUUCAAUCCUUCAUGGACAACUUCAACGACGCCGCCACCCGCAUCGCAGACAGCUUUGUCGAGCCAGCAAGUCCUCCUCCUGCUGAGUGAACAAACAUUAUGCCCCACCUUUUAUUUUCCUCGAAAUGCCGAUUUGUUCUGUAACCGUUAAACUCUUUCAGGCCUGAUGCCUGAGUACUUCUUCCCGUUGUGGUUCUGUACUUUUGUGGGAUUUAUCUGAACUUGAUUUUCUUCGAAUACAACGGUUUUGUCUUUGUCGCUUUUGGAUGUUUUUGGUCCUGAGUGGGACUUUACCUUUCCAAUCCUCGUCGAGUGGCUCUGAUGAUGUGGUUGAAUGACACCUCGUCAUCCUUGCGGAUCGGGAUGGAGCGUAUGUUGUACUUGUGAUGCAGCUCAGAGGACGUGUUCAAUCGACACCUCGUCGUCCUUGCGGACCGGGAUGGAGCGUACGUUGUACUUGUGAUGCAUCUCAGAGGAUGUGUUCAAUCGACACCUCGUUGUCCUUGCGGAUCGGGAUGGACCGUAAGUUGUACUUGUGACGCAGCUCAGAGGAUAUGUUCAAUCGACACCUCGUCGUCCUUGCGGAUCGGGAUGGAGUGUACGUUGUACUUGUGACGCAGCUCAGAGGAUCUUUGUGACUUAGGUGAGUACGGGGUCACAGCUAAGCCCUCGAGUGGGAGGAUCUCUCUCCACUCGGAGUGUUUUUUACCUUAGGCGAGUACGGGGUCGCAGCUAAGCCCCUGAGUGGGAGGAUCGCUCUCCACUCGGAGUGUUUUCUAACUUAGGCGAGUACGGGGUCGCAGCUAAGCCCUCGAGUGGGAGGAUCGCUCUCCACUUGGAGUGUUUUUUAACUUAGGCGAGUACGGGGUCGCAGCUAAGCCCCCGAGUGGGACGAUCUCUCUCCACUCGGAUUGUUUUCNNNNNNNNNNNNNNNNNNNNNNNNNNNNNNNNNNNNNNNNNNNNNNNNNNNNNNNNNNNNNNNNNNNNNNNNNNNNNNNNNNNNNNNNNNNNNNNNNNNNNNNNNNNNNNNNNNNNNNNNNNNNNNNNNNNNNNNNNNNNNNNNNNNNNNNNNNNNNNNNNNNNNNNNNNNNNNNNNNNNNNNNNNNNNNNNNNNNNNNNNNNNNNNNNNNNNNNNNNNNNNNNNNNNNNNNNNNNNNNNNNNNNNNNNNNNNNNNNNNNNNNNNNNNNNNNNNNNNNNNNNNNNNNNNNNNNNNNNNNNNNNNNNNNNNNNNNNNNNNNNNNNNNNNNNNNNNNNNNNNNNNNNNNNNNNNNNNNNNNNNNNNNNNNNNNNNNNNNNNNNNNNNNNNNNNNNNNNNNNNNNNNNNUAAGCCCCGAGUGGGAGGAUCGCUCUCCCCUCAGAGUGUUUUUUAACUUAGGCGAGUACGGGGUCGCGGCUAAACCCCUGAGUGGGAGGAUCGCUCUCCACUCGGAGUGUUUUAUAACUUAGGCGAAUCGGAUUCGCGGCUAAGCCCCCGAGUGGGAGGAUCGCUCUCCACUCGGAGUGUUUUUUAACUUAGGUGAGUACGGGGUCGCGGCUAAGCCCCCGAGUGGGAGGAUCCCUCUCCACUUGGACUGUUUUUUAACUUAAGCGAAGAUUCGCGGCUAAGCCACCCACUGGGGGAUUUAGACACAUGUGUUUAUGGGAACAACGAUCAUUAAGAUACUGCAAAAUUAUUGUCCUUGAUAAGCAAACUGAAGUACUUAUAUUACAACUCGUCUAUCCGAGUGAUUUAUGUGUAAAAAUGGCGGAGCAACUCUUCCAUGCGCGUGGCUCGUCCAUCUUCUUGGCUACAUUGUAGAUGUGGUACGCUCCAUUGUGAAGCACCUUGGUGAUGAUGAACGGACCUUCCCAGGCUGGAGCGAGCUUGUGAGGCCGUUUUUUAUCCACUCGGAGCACAAGGUCUCCUUCUUGGAACGCUGGACCUUUGACGUUGCGGGCAUGGAAUCAACGCAAAUCUUGCUGAUAGAUGGUCGACUGAAUCAGAGCCAUCUCACGUUUCUCUUCGAGGAGAUCCACUACGUCUUGGCAUGCUUGUUUUGCUUCAGCUUCUGAGAAGAGUUCUACUCGGGGGGUGUUGUGUAGUAAGUCACUCGGAAGCACAGGCUUGGCGCCGUACACCAGGAAGAAAGGGGUUCGGUCAGUCGACCGGUUUAGCAUCGUUCUCAGCCCCCAUAGAACGGAUGGUAACUCAGUCACCCAGGCUCCAGCAGCGUGCUUGAGGUCGCGCAUCAGUCGAGGUUUCAGCCCUUGAAGGAUCAAACCAUUCACCCUUUGUGCUUGCCCAUUCGAUUACGAGUGUGCAAUGGAUGCAUAGUCGACCCGAGUGCCUUGGGAAGCACAGAACGCCUUGAACUCAUCAAAAUCAAAAUUGGAGCCAUUAUCCAUGAUAAUACUGUGAGGGACUCCAUAUCUGAAUAUCAAUUCUCUGACGAAACUGACGGCAGUGCUUGAGUCAAGGUUUUUGAUAGGCUUGGCUUCGAUCCAUUUGGUGAACUUGUCGACUACUACGAGCAAAUGAGUGAAACCACUUCUACCAGUCCUGAAGGGCCCGACCAUAUCUAACCCCCAGACUGCAAAUGGCCAGAUGAGUGGAAUAGUCUUCAAGGCAGAUGCGGGCUUGUGGGACAUGUUGGAGUAGAACUGACAUCCUGCGCACUUGUCGACUAUAUCUUUCACCAUCUCAUUUGCACGGGGCCAAUAAAAUCCCGCUCGGUAUGCUUUGGCCACGAUGGUUCGAGAGGACGCAUGGUGACCACAGGUCCCCGAGUGGAUCUCGUUUAAGAUCAUUUGGCCUUCUUCUAGGGUGAUGUAGCCUUGAGCCGCUCCUGUGACACUUUCUCUGUAGAGCUGCCCUUUUAACACAGUGAAAGAUGUUGAUCGUCGGACGAUCUGAUGAGCCUCAUCUUCGUCCUCUGGGAGCUCAUUCCUAAGUAUAUAUGCGAUAUAUGACACUGUCCAGUCGGGCGUGAUCACUAAGACUUCCAUGAUCAAGUCGACCACAGCUGGGACUUCAACUUCAGUCGGGUCUGCUGAACUUAUCGGCUGUGGGGGUUCUUCCUUGAAGGGAUCUUCCUGUACUGACAGGGUGUGGAGAUGCUCCAAAAACACAUUACUGGGGAUAGGCUUCUAGUGGGACCUAUCUUCGCCAGCUCAUCAGCCGCUUGAAUCUUGAUUCGGGGUAUGUGGUGGAGCUCUAACCCCUCGAACUUCUUUUCCAGCUUCCUUACUGCAUUGCAAUAACCGGUCAUUGCUGGAUUCCUGACAUCCCAUUCCUUCAUCACUUGAUUGACCACUAAGUCUGAGUCGCCGUAUACCAUCAGGCGUCGGACGCCGAGUGAAAUGGCCAUACGUAACCCAUGCAGAAGUGCCUAAUAUUCAGCUUCAUUGUUUGAAGAAUCAAAGUGAAUCUGGAGGACAUAGUUGAGCUUGUCGCCUCUUGGGGAUACCAGAACCACUACUGCGCCAGAUCCAUUCAACAUCUUAGAGCCAUCAAAGAACAUAGUCCAAUGCUCCGAGUGAACCUGAGUCGGUUGCUCAUGUUCAGUCCACUCUGCAAGGAAAUCUUCUAUUGCCUGGGACUUGAUGGCCUUCUUUGCCUCAAACUUGAUAUGUAACGGAAGGAGUCCAAUCGCCCAUUUUGCCACUCGCCCAUUUGCUUCUCUAUUGUUCAGGAUUUCUGAUAGUGGAGCAUCACUGACUAUUGAAACCGAGUGGUCUGAGAAGUAGUGUGCUACUUUCUUCAUGGUUAGAUAAAUUCCAUAAACAAGGUUCUGAUAGUGUGGGUAUCUAUGAUUGGAUGGAGUUAAGACUUUAGAAAUAUAAUAUACUGGGCGUUGAACUUUGAAGGCCUUGCCUUCUUCUUCCUGCUCGAUUGUGAGCACUGUGCUGACAACCUGUCUAGUUGCUGCGAUGUAGAGAAGUAAAGGCUUCUUGCUGACUGGAGCAGCAAGCACCGGCUGGGUGGAAAGCAGAGCUUUGAGCUCUUCAAACGCUGCUUCAGCUUCACCAUUCCACUCAAACAUGUCAGACUUCUUCAUCAGUUGGUACAGAGGCAGUGCCUUUUCACUGAGGCGUGAGAUGAAUCGACUCAAUGCAGCCAAACAACUAGUAAGCUUCUGAACAUCGUGCACAUGCACAGGGCGUUUCAUUCAGAGGAUUGUGCGAAUAUUCUCUGGAUUUGCAUUGAUCCCCUGUUCUGAAACAAGGAAACCGAGUAACUUUCCGCCUGGGACUCCGAAUGUGCACUUUGAUGGAUUCAUCUUGAUAUCAUAUCUUCUUAAGUUGGCAAAGGUUUCAGCGAGGUCAGUCAGCAGGUCGGAACCUUUGCGUGACCUGACCACUAUGUCAUCCAUGUAUGCUUCCACAUUCUGACUAAUUUGAGUGAGCAUGCACUUGUGAAUCAUGCACAUGAAAGUGGCACCAGCAUUCUUGAGGCCAAAGGGCAUGGUGACAUAGCAAAAGCAUCCGAAUGGGGUGAUGAAAGCUAUUUUUAUCUCAUCAUGACCAUACAGACGGAUCUAAUGGUACCCGGAAUACGCAUCCAAAAAGGACAAGCACUCACAUCCCGCAGUUGAGUCGACUAUUUGGUUGAUGCAGGGCAGAGGGAAAUGAUCUUUCAGGCAGGCCUGAUUGAUAUGCUUGAAACAAAUACACAUAUUAAGUGACGUAUCUUUCUUGGGGACCAUGGCGACGUUGGCGAGCCACUCAGAGUGGUAUAUCUCGCGGAUGAACUCUGCUGCCAGGAGCCGAGCCACUUCUUCGCCAAUCGCCUUCCCCUUCUCCGUCGUGGACCGACGGAGAUGCUCUUUAACAGGUGUUUCUUUUGGGUCGACUCGCAAACGGUGCUCAGCUAGUCCCCUUGGUACACCUGGCAUGUCUGAUGGUUUCCAUGCGAAGAUGUCCCAGUUCUCACGGAAGAACUGGAUGAGCGCUUCUUCCUAUUUGCUGUCAAGUGUUGUUGAAAUAUGGGUCGGAGCAGCGUUUGGAUCGGCCGGGUGAAUGUGAAUCGGCUUUGUUUCACCUGUCGACUAAAAUGCGGACUCUGAGGCGGGCUUUUUGGCACGCAACAAAUCACUCAGAUCUGCAUUCUUCUGGUACUCUUGAAACUCCACUGCUGCCAUCUAUUCAUCGGCAAUCUUACAACCUUUCUGGAAGCAAUCUUCUGCCCUUUGUCGACUCCCAGUGACUGUGAUCACGCCUUUGAGGCCGGGCAUUUUCAGCUUGAGGUAUACAUAACAUGGUUGAGCCAUGAAACGAGCAUAUGCAAGCCGACCCAAAAUGGCAUGGUACGCACUUUUGAAAUCCACUGCAUCAAAGGUCAACUUCUCCUUGCGAUAAUUCUUCUCAUCGCCGAAAACCACGUCAAGAGUGAUCUGGCUGAGUGAAUAGGCUUUCUUUCCUGGGUUGACUCCGUGGAAUCGCAUGUUGCUUUCACUGAGCUUGGACAUCGGGAUGCCCAUCCCUUUGAGGGCCUCAGCGUACAGGAUAUUCAGACCACUGCCACCGUCCUUCAAAACCUUAGUCAGUCGAGUGCCCUCAAUGACUGGGUUUACCACCAACGCUUGCCGGCCAGGGGUGGCAAUGUGUGCUGGGUGGUCGAAUUGGUCAAAUAUUAUAGUUUUUUUUGACCACUUCAAGUAUGUCUUCGUUGCUGGGCAACCAUGUUUACUUCCCUGUUGAUCACUUUCAGUCGACUUUUUCUCUCGACGUCAACAAAAAUCAUCAAAGUGGCAUUGACAUUGGGAUAACCAUCAUCCUCGGCCUUGUCUUCUUCCUUAUCUGACUCUUUUUCCUUCUCACUAGGUUGACCUUUCUCACGGAAACUCUGGAUCAGGAGUCCAAACUGUCGAGUGGUAUGCUUAGGGAUAAUCAGAUUCCCUCUGCAUCCUUUUUGGUGUGUAUAUGACACGGCAAAUCAAGUGCAUCAUUCCCAUCUUGAUAAUUCACUUUCUUAGGGUUCCAGGGCCCCUUAGGCUUCUCUUUGAACUUUCCCUGGUUCAACAUUGCUGCCUCAGGAGGGCCUGCUGCCUCAGCCUUGCGCUUCUGCUUCCGACUGGAAUUCCCACCUCCGGUGCCUAGGGCGACUGACUCGUUCUUGCCGCUCCGGAGUCGGUAUUCUUCUUCGCCGUUAGCAUAUUUUGUGGCAAUCUCCAUCAUCCAAGCCAGAGACAUGUCUCCGGUCCGACCGAACUUCAGAUUGAGCUCUCUGUAGCGAAUGCCUUCUUUGAAGGCACAUACUGCUGUUGAAAAUAUACCCUAGAGGCAAUAAUAAAAUGGUUAUUAUUGUAUUUCCUUGUUCAUGAUGAUUGUCUACUGUUCAUGCUAUAAUUGUAUUAACUGGAAACCGUAAUACAUGUGUGAAUACAUAGAGCACAACAUGUCCCUAGUGAGCCUCUAGUUGACUAGCUCGUUAAUCAAUAGAUAGUUAUGGUUUCCUGACCAUGGACAUUAGAUGUCAUUGAUAACGGGAUCACAUCAUUAGGAGAAUGAUGUGAUGGACAAGACCCAAUCCUAAGCAUAGCACAAGAUCGUGUAGUUCGUUUGCUAAGGCUUUUCUAAUGUCAAGUAUCAUUUCCUUAGACCAUGAGAUUGUGCAACUCCCGGCUACCGUAGGAAUGCUUUGGGUGUGCCAAACGUCACAACGUAACUGGGUGGCUAAAAAGGUGCACUACGGGUAUCUCCGAAAUUCUCUAUUGGGUUGGCACGAAUCGAGACUGGGAUUUGUCACUCCGUAUGACGGAGAGGUAUCUCUUGGCGCACUCGGUAAUGCAUCAUCAUAAUGAGCUCAAUGUGACUAAGUAGUUAGUCACGGGAUCAUGCAUUAUGGAAUGAGUAAAGUGACUUGCCGGUAACGAGAUUGAACGAGGUAUUGGGAUACCACGAUCGAAUCUCGGGCAAGUAACAUACCGAUUGACAAAGGGAAUUGCAUACGGGAUUGCUUGAAUCCUUGACCUCGUGGUUCAUCCGAUGAGAUCAUUGUGGAACAUGUAGGAGCCAACAUGGGUAUCCAGAUCCCGAUGUUGGUUAUUGACCAGAGAACGUCUCGGUCAUGUCUGCAUGGUUCCCGAACCCGUAGGGUCUACACACUUAAGGUUCGGUGACGCUAGAGUUGUUAUGGGAAAUAGUAUGUGGUUACCGAAGGUUGUUCGGAGUCCCGGAUGAGAUCCCAGACAUGACGAGGAGCUCCGGAAUGGUCCGGAGGUGAAGAUCGGUAUAUUGGACGAAGGGUAUUGGAGUCCGGAAUUGUUCUGGGGGUACCAGGUGAUGACCAGCGUUGGGGGGGGGCUUAUGGGCCAAGGGGAGAGGGAACAUCAGCCCACUAAGGGGCUGAGCGCCCCUCCCACCCCAUGUCACGUAACCAGGAGAGGUGGGGGCGCCACCCCUAGGGCAGCGGCCCCUCCCGGCUUGGGGGGCAAGUUUCCUAGGGGGUGGGGGCGCCCAAACCCAUCUAGGGUUUCCCCUGUGGCCGCCACCCCUCCCCUAGGGAACCCUAGGGCGCCUCCCCCUCCUCCCUUCCCCCUAUAUAUAGUGAGGGAGAGAGGGAAGCCGCACCCUUCACCUGGCGCAGCCCCUCCCUCCUCCAACACCUACUCCUCCUCCGUAUUGCUUGGCGAAGCCCUGCCGGAGAACCACGAGCUCCAUCACCACUAUGCCGUCGUGCUAUCGGAGUUCUCCCUCAACUUCUCCUCUCCCCUUGCUGGAUCAAGAAGGAGGAGACGUCCCCGGGCUAUACGUGUGUUGAACACGGAGGCACCGUUGUUCGGUGCUUAGAUCGGAUUCGGCCGCGAUCUGAAUCGCUUCGUGAACGACUCCACCGACCGCGUUCUUGUAACGCUUCCUCAUCGCGAUCUUCAAGGGUAUGAAGAUGCACUCCCCUCUCUCUCGUUUCUAGUCUCUCCAUAUAUUGAUCUUGGUGAUGCGUAGAAAAUGUUGAAUUUCUGCUACGUUCCCCAACAGUGGCAUCAUGAGCUAGGUCUAUUGCGUAGAUUCUAUGCACGAGUAGAACACAAGUUGUUGUGGGCGUUGAUUUUGUUCAAUAUGCUUACCGUUACUAGUCCUAUCUUGUUUCGACGGUAUUGUGGGAUGAAGCGGCCCGGACCGACCUUACACGUACACUUACGUGAGACAGGUUCCACCGACUGACAUGCACUUGUUGAAUAAGGUGGCUAGCGGGUGCCAGUCUCUCCCUCUUUAGUCGGAUCGGAUUCGAUGAAAAGGGUCCUUAUGAAGGGUAAAUAGCAAUUGGCAUAUCACGUUGUGGUUUUGGCGUAGGUAGGAAAUGUUCUUGCUAGAAACCUAUAGCAGCCACGUAAAAACUUGCAACAACAAUUAGAGGAUGUCUAACUUGUUUUUGCAGGAUAUGCCGUGUGAUGUGAUAUGGCCAAGAAGGAUGUGAUGAAUGAAAUAUAUGUGAUGUAUGAGAUUGAUCAUAUUCUUGUAAUAGGAAUCACGACUUGCGUGUCGAUGAGUAUGACAACCGGCAGGAGCCAUAGGAGUCGUCUUUAUUUAUUGUAUGACUUGCGUGUCACUGAAUAACGCCAUGUAAUUACUUUACUUCAUUGCUAAACCGUUAGCCAUAGUAGUAGAAGUAAUAAGUUGGCGAGACAACUUCAUGGAGACACGAUGAUGGAGAUCACAAUGAUGGAGAUCAUGGUGUCAUGCCGGUGACGAUGAUGAUCAUGGAGCCCCGAAGAUGGAGAUCAAAAGCAGCAAAAUGAUAUUGGCCAUAUCAUGUCACUAUUUGAUUGCAUGUGAUGUUUAUCAUGUUUAUGCAUCUUAUUUGCUUAGAACGACGGUAGUAAAUAAGAUGAUCCCUCAUAAUAAUUUCAAGAAAGUGUUCCCCCUAACUGUGCACCAUUGCGAAAGAUCAUUGCUUCGAAGCACCACGUGAUGAUCGGGUGUGAUAGAUUCUAACGUUCACAUACAACAGGUGUAAGCCACAUUUACACACACAAAACACUUAGGUUGACUUGACGAGCCUAGCAUGUACAGACAUGGCCUCGGAACACAAGAGACCGAAAGGUCGAGCAUGAGUCAUAUAGUAGAUACGAUCAACAUGAAGAUGUUCACCGAUGAUGACUAGUCCAUCUCACGUGAUGAUCGGACACGGCCUAGUUGACUCGGAUCAUGUAUCACUUAAGAUGACUAGAGGGAUGUCUAUCUGAGUGGGAGUUCAUUAGAUGAACUUAAUUAUCCUGAACAUAAUCAAAAGGUCUUUGCAAAUUAAGUCGUAGCUUGGGUUUUAGUUCUACUGUUUUAGAUUGUUCCAAGAGAAAAUAUAGUUGAAAGUUGAUAGUAGCAAUUAUGCGGACUGGGUCCGUAAACCGAGGAUUGUCCUCAUUGCUGCGCAGAAGGCUUAUGUCCUUAAUGCACCGCUCGGUGUGCUGAACCUCGAACAUCGUCUGUGGAUGUUGCGAACAUCUAACAUACAUGUUUUGAUGACUACAUGAUAGUUCAGUAAUGGUAAACGGUUUAGAAUUGAGGCGCCGAAGACGGUUUUUGAAACGUCGCAGAACAUAUGAGAUGUUUCAAGGGCUGAAAUUGGGAUUUCAGGCUCGUGCCCACGUCAAGAGGUAUGAGACCUCUGACAAGUUUCUUAGCCUGCAAGCUAAGGGAGAAAAGCUCAAUUGUUGAGCAUGUGCUCAGAUUGUCUGAGUACUACAAUCACUUGAAUUGAGUGGGAGUUAAUCUUCCAGAUGAGAUAGUGAUGGUUCUCCAUAGUCACUGCCACCAAGCUAUUAGCGGUUCGUGAUGAACUAUAACAUAUCAGGGAUAGACAUGAUGAUCCUUGAGCAAUUCGCGAUGUUUGACACCGCGAAAGUAGAAAUCAAGAAGGAGCAUCAAUUGUUGAUGGUUGGUGAAACCACUAGUUUCAAGAAGGGCAAGGGCAAGAAGGGAUACUUCAUGAAAUGGCAAAUCAGUUGCUGCUCUAGUGAAGAAACCCAAGGUCGAACCCAAACCCGAGACUAAGUGCUUCCGUAAUGAGGGGAACAGUCACUGAAGGAGAACUACCCUAGAUACUUGGUAGAUGAGAAGGCUCGCAAGGUCGACAGGAGUAUAUUGGAUAUACAUUAUAUUGAUGUGUACUUUACUAGUACUCCUAGUAGCACCAUGGUAAUAGAUACCGGUUCAGUUGCUAAGUGUUAGUAACUCGAAAUAGAAGGCUAUGGAAUAAACGGAGACUAGCUAAAGGCGAGGUGACGAUAUGUAUUGGAAGUAUUUCCAAGGUUGAUGUGAUCAAACAUCGCAUGCUCCCUCUACCAUCGGGAUCGGUGUUAAACCUAAAUAAUUGUUAUUUAGUGUUUGCGUUGAGCAUAGAAAUGAUUGGAUUAUGUCUAUAGCAAUACGGUUAUUCAUUUAAGGAGAAUAAUGGUUACUCUGUUUAUUUGAAUAAUACCUUCAAUGGUCUUGCACCUAAAAUGAAUGGUUUAUUGAAUCUCGAUCAUAGUGAUACACAUGUUCAUGCCAAAAGAUAUAAAGAUAGUAAUGAUGGUACCACCUACUUGUGGCACUGCCAUUUGAGUCAUAUUGGUAUAAAACGCAUGAAGAAGCUCCAUGUUGAUGGAUCUUUGGACUCACUCGUUUUUGAAAAGUUUGAGACAUGCGAACCAUGUCUAUUGGUAUGUGCGCAUGAAGAAACUCCAUGCAGAUGGAUCGUUUGGACUCACUUGAUUCUAAAUCACUUGAUACAUGCAAAUCAUACCACAUGGCCAAGAUGACUGAGAAGCCUCGUUUUCAGUAAGAUUGAACAAGAAAGCAACUUGUUGGAAGUAAUACAUUUUGAUGUGUGCAGUCCAAUGAGUGCUGAGGCACGCAGUGGAUAUCGUUAUGUUCUUACUUCACAGAUGAUUUGAGUAGAUGUUGAGUAUAUUUACUUGAUGAAACACAAGUCUGAAUUAUUGAAAGGUUCAAGUAAUUUCAGAGUGAAGUUGAAGAUCUUCGUGACAAGAGGAUAAAAUUUCUAUGAUAUGAUCAUAGAGAUGAAUAUCUGAGUUGCGAUUUUGGUACACAAUUAAGACAUUGUGGAAAUUGUUUCACAACUAACACCGCCUGGAACACCAUAGUGUGAUGGUGUGUCCGAUAAUCAUAGAUGCACCCUAUUGGAUAUGGGGCAUACCAUGAUGUCUCUUAUUGAAUUACCACUAUUUUUCAUGGGUUAGGCAUUAGAGACAACCACAUUCACUUUAAAUAGGGCACCACUAAUUCCAUUGAGAUGACACCGUAUGAACUAUGGUUUAGAGAAACCUAAGUUGUCGUUUCUUAAAAGUUUGGGGCUGCGACGCUUAUGUGAAAAAGUUUCAUCCUGAUAAGCUCGAACCCAAAGCGGAUAAAUACAUCUUCAUAGGACACCCAAAAUAGUUGGGUAUACCUCCUAUUUUAGAUCCGGAAGCAAAAGUGAUUGUUUCUAGAAAUGGGUCCUUUCUCGAGGAAAAGUUUCUCUCGAAAGAAUUGAGUGGGAGGAUGGUGGAGACUUGAUGAGGUUAUUGAACCAUCACUUCAACUAGAGUGUAGCAGGGCACAUGAAGUUGUUCCUGUGGCACCUACACCAAUUGAAGUGGAAGCUGAUGAUAGUGAUCAUGAAGCUUCGGAUCAAGUCACUACCAAACCUCGUAGGUCGACAAGGAUGCGUACUACUUCAGAAUGGUACGUAAUCCUGUCUUGGAGGUCAUGUUGCUAGACAACAAUGAACCUACGAGCUAUGGACAAGCGAUGGUGGGCCCGGAUUCUGACAAAUGGCUCGAGGCCAUAAAAUCUGAGAGAGGAUCCAUGUAUGAAAACAAAGUGUAGACUUUGGAAGAACUACUUGAUGGUCGUAAGGCUAUUGGGUACAUAUGGAUUUUAAAAGGAAGACGGACAAUGAUGGUAAGUAUCACCAAUAAGAAAGCUUGACUUGUCAUUAAGAUGUUUUCCGACAAGUUCAAGGAGUUGACUACGAUGAGACUUUCUCACUCGUAGCGAUGCUAAGAGAGUGUUGGAAUUAUAUUAGCAAUUACUGCAUGAUUUAUGAAAUCUUGCAGAUAGGAUGUCAAAACAUUGUUUCCUCGACGAUAUUCUUGAGGAAAGGUUGUAUGUGAUACAACCAGAAGGUUUUUUCAAUCCUGAAAGAUGCUAACAAGUGCGCAAAGCUCAAGCAAUCCUUCUAAGGACUGGAGUAAGCAUCUCGGAGUUGGAAUAUACGCUUUGAUGAGAUGAUCAAAGAUUUUGGGUUUAUACAAUGUUUAUGAGAAACUUGUAUUUCCAAAAGGGUGAGCGGGAGCACUAUAGCAUUUCUGAUGAGUAUAUGUUGUUGACAUAUUGUUGAUCGGAAAUGAUGUAGAAUUUCUGGAAAGCAUAAAGGGUUAUUUGAAAAGUGGUUUUCAAGGGAAACCCUGGAUUAAGCUUCUUGAACAUUGAGCAUCAAGAUCUAUAAGGAUAGAUCAACAACGCUUAAUAGUACUUUCAAACGAGCACAUACCGUGACAAGAUUUUGAAGGAGUUCAAAAUAGAUCGGCAAAGAAGGAGUUCUUGGCUGUGUUAUAAGGUGUGAAUAUUGAGUAAGACUCAAGACAUGACCACGACAGAAGAGAGAGAAAGGACGAAGGUCGUCCCCUAUGCUUCAGACGUAGGCUCUACAGUAUGCUAUGCUGUGUACCGCACCUGAAGUGUGCCUUGCCAUGAGUCAGUCAAGGGGUACAGGAGUGAUCCAGGAAUGGAUCAUAGGACAGCGGUCAAAGUUAUCCUUAGUAACUAGUGGACUAAGGAAUUUUCUCGAUUAUGGAGGUGGUAAAAGAGUUCGACGUAAAGGGUUACGUCGAUGCAUACUUUGUUACUAAUCUGGAUGACUAUGAGUAGUAAACCGGAUUCAUAUAGUAGAACAGUUAUUUGGAAUAGUUCCAAAUAGCGCGUGGUAGCUGCAUCUACAAGAUGACAUAGAGAUUUGUAAAACACACAUGGAUCUGAAUGGUUCAGACCCGUUGACUAAUAACCUCUCUCACAAGCAAGAUAUGAUCAAACCCCAUGGGUGUUGAAUUCAUUACAAUCACAUACUGAUGUGAACUAGAUUAUUGACUCUAGUGCAAGUGGGAGACUGUUGGAAAUAUGCCCUAGAGGCAAUAAUAAAAUGGUUAUUAUUGUAUUUCCUUGUUCAUGAUAAUUGUCUAUCGUUCAUGCUAUAAUUGUAUUAAGUGGAAACCGUAAUACAUGUGUGAAUACAUAGACCACAACAUGUCCCUAGUGAGACUCUAGUUGACUAGCUUGUUGAUUAAUAGAUAGUUAUGGUUUCCUGACCAUGGACAUUAGAUGUCAUUGAUAACGGGAUCACAUCAUUAGGAGAAUGAUGUGAUGGACAAGACCCAAUCCUAAGCAUAGCACAAGAUCGUGUAGUUCGUUUGCUAAAGCUUUUCUAAUGUCAAGUAUAAUUUCCUUAGACCAUGAGAUUGUGCAACUCCCGGAUACCGUAGGAAUGCUUUGGGUGUGCCAAACGUCACAACGUAACUGGGUGGCUAUAAAGGUGCACUACGGGUAUCUCCAAAAGUGUCUGUUGGGUUGGCACGAAUCGAGACUGGGAUUUGUCACUCCGUAUGACGGAGAGGUAUCUCUAGGCCCACUCGGUAAUGCAUCAUCAUAAUGAGCUCAAUGUGACUAAGUUAGUCACGGGAUCAUGCAUUAUGGAACGAGUAAAGUGACUUGCCGGUAACGAGAUUGAAUGAGGUAUUGGGAUACUGGCGAUCGAAUCUCGGGCAAGUAACAUACCGAUUGACAAAGGGAAUUGCAUACGGGAUUGCUUGAAUCCUUGACAUCAUGGUUCAUCCGAUGAGAUCAUUGUGGAACAUGUGGGAGCCAACAUGGGUAUCCAGAUCCCGCUAUUGGUUAUUGAUCGGAGAACGUCUCGGUCCUGUCUGCAUGGUUCCCGAACCCGUAAGGUCUACACACUUAAGGUUCGGUGACGCUAGAGUUGUUAUGGGAAAUAGUAUGUGGUUACCGAAGGUUGUUCGGAGUCCCAGAUGAGAUCCCGGACAUGACGAGGAGCUCCGGAAUGGUCCGGAGGUGAAGAUCGGUAUAUUGGACGAAGGGUAUUGGAGUCCGGAAUUGUUCCGGGGGUACCAGGUGAUGACCAGCGUGUGCGAAAGGGGUUUCGGAGGCCCCGGCAAGCGUUGGGGGGCCUUAUGGGCCAAGGGGAGAGGGCACAUCAGCCCACUAAGGGGCUGAGCGCCCCUCCCACCCCACCUCACGUAACCAGGAGAGGUGGGGGCACCACCCCUAGGGCAGCCGCCCCUCCCGGCUUGGGAGGCAAGUUUCCUAGGGGGUGGGGCCGCCCAAACCCAUCUAGGGUUUCCCAUGUGGACGCCGCCCCUCCCCUAGGGAACCCUAGGGAGCCUCCCCCUCCUCCCUUCCCCCUAUAUAUAGUGAGGGAGAGAGAGGGCAGCCACACCCUUCCCCUGGCGCAGCCCCUCCCUCCUCCAACACCUCCUCCUCCUCCGUAGUGCUUGGCGAAGCCCUGCCGGAGAACCACGAGCUCCAUCACCACUAUGUCGUCGUGCUGUCGGAGUUCUCCCUCAAAUUCUCCUCUCCCCUUGCUGGAUCAAGGAGGAGACGUCCCCGGGCUGUACAUGUGUUGAACGCGGAGGCACCGUUGUUCGGUGCUUAGAUCGGAUUCGGCCGCGAUCUGAAUCACUUCGUGAAUGACUCCACUGACCGCGUUCUUGUAACGCGUCCGCAUUGCGAUCUUCAAGGGUAUUAAGAUGCACUCCCCUCUCUCUCGUUGCUAGUCUCUCCAUAGAUUGAUCUUGGUGAUGCGUAGAAAAUUUUGAAUUUCUGCUACGUUCCCCAACAACUGCUUGGUGAUCAGAUACAUUUCUCCACUGUGUGGUGCAGAGUGAUCCACCUCUGGAUAUAAUCUCUCAAGGUCUCAUUCGGUUUCUGCAUGCAAUGUUGUAAUUCCGGCAAACCAACAGGUCCCUUGCAGGUGCCCUCAAAUGUUCUGGUAAACACUCGGGCCAACUCAUCCCAAGUGAGAAUGCUUCCAAGGGCAAACUGAUUCAGCCAAGCUCUGGCAGAACCUUCGAGCAUCAAAGGGAGGUGCUUCAUGGCCACCUCAUCACUGCCGCCACCAAUAUGCACAGCCACUCGGUAAUCCUCCAACCAAGUCUCGGGAUUCGACUCUCCUGUAAACUUGUUGACGUCUGUCGCCAGUCUGAAGUUGUGAGGGAUCUCAGCGGCUCGGAUGGCUCUUCCAAAACACUCAGGGCCAGAAACGUGAACCCUGCUUCCACUGGACCUGUCUCUAUCCAGCCCCUCUUUGUAUGCUUUGUUCCUACCGACCAAACCCUGUAGAAGGACUGACCUUGCAUCAAACCCAUGCUCUCUUGGGUCGACUGGAACUCUGCGGUCAUUACCAUACGGGCGCCUGUCAUCGUACCGCCGGGGUGCGUACGACCCGUCGUCCCUCGGAAGGGGUGAAGGCACUCGACAGUGAUGCUCACGAGCGUACUCACGAUCAAACUCUCCAUGAGCUCUUCCCAGGUGCCGAUCCCGACGGCGAUCACGCUCUUUGCGCCACAAAGAUGACCCGGGACUGUGUGCCGACUGGACUGUAUCUGCCCUUACUGACUUGCUGUGGAUCCUGUUCCGUGACUAGGAAACAACGGACUUCAGCUCUCCUGCUGCUCGGAGCAGCGCUCAGAUCUUUCCUAGCCCCUCCCAGCCUCUAAACGGGACGGCUGAAUAGAUUCUGCUAUACGCGUAGCUGCUGCAAGAUUCUGGAUUGGUGUACAGAAUACCUGAGGUUCAGGAGGAAACAAUUAUCAUGGACGUCGACUGGAUUCAGAGAUCAAUCGACGGGCAUGUUCGUCGAGAGAAUGUUGGAGAUUCUCCAAACGGGUGCGCUCAGCCAACAUGGCCAGGCGCACCGCCUCUAAGGCCCGAGCCUCGGCGGUUUCCCUGAUGAUGGGGGUCUGGAGGGCCUCCACGUUGCGGCGCUGCAGCUCCUCCCUCUACUGCGAGUUGAGAGGUUGGGGCUCAUACUCCUCGUGGUCGAAUGACGCGCCAUCACCGCCACCGUUGCCGCCGCUGCGGCGAAACCUAGGCGGGCUGCGACAGGAAUCGACAAUGAGGACUUCUGCCGUGGGGUCACCACUCCCACUGUCGGAAAGAAUAUCCGCAGACCCAGUCGACAUGUCAACUGGACCGCAGUGAAAUUCGCCGGGCUCGAUUGCUGGGACAUGGGGGGCGGCUGUCUGGCGAGCCAUCGCAUGCCUCACCCAUCGCUGGAGCCGCGACCGAUCGGAUCGCUUGCGGCGUUGUCCAGCGGAGUGAGUAGGGAACGUGAAAGCCGACCGAUACGGAGUCGACGGUUGUCGUAGGAGGACGCCGCAGGCACUCGCACGGAACUGCGAAGAUCCGUGGAUCGGGAGAGCCUCGACGUCGAGGGGAGCUUCCUGAAGCCAGGAGGAGUCGUCAGCGACGAAGUGAGCGCACCGAGUCGGAACUCGCGGCCCAUGAUCAAACCGCCGCCGAAAACCAUGUUGAUGAAGAUCGGAGAAAACACAACCUCCCCGGAAGUUGCUAAGAUGCUUUGCCCCAUGGGGGGCGCCAACUGUCGUGGUACUAAGUCUGAUAGUAAGAAUAGGGGGGUAUGUAUGAGGAGGCGAGGUCCAAGGUACGGUGAGGUUGUACACACGAGUUUACGAGUUCAGGCCCCUCUCGGAGGAGGUAAAAGCCCUACAUCUCGGUGCCCUGAGGCGGUCGACUGGAAUAUGGAUGUGUGUGUCACAAGGGGUGCGAACCCUUGUCCCAGAGGAGGGGGUGGCUUAUAUAGAGUGCGCCAGGACCCCAGCCGUCCCCCGUUACAGGGUUCGAUGUACAUUAAGAUAGAGCGUUACUGAUAACACCAGCUAUAAAGUGUGUCAUCAAUGGUCUUUAAGACUACGGAGUGAUUGCCUGACUGUUGCCAUCCUGAGUGGCUCUAGGUCUUCUGUACUCCAAGUGGUUCCCUGAAUGGUCGAAUGACUCCAUCGAGGUCGAGCGAAAUUGGAGGUAUCCGAGUGAGGUGACUGGUCGAGUGGAUCGCACUCGAUGGCUUCAGUUGAUACUCCUUGUUAUAUCUUGAACGUCCUUGAUUCUAGGGUAGUGACCUUGGGUAGGGCGUAUAGGUCAGGUCUAUGACCCUACCCUAGGUCUAUGGCAUCGUCACCAGGAGCGAGGUCCAUUGGUCUUGGUUCGUAUCUGGAACCGGGAGCAAAAGUGUCAGUCGAAUCGGGACCAAUGGCCCCCGAGGCUCGGCCGGCGCCCUGGCCUCACGAACCGGGACUGAUGCACCCUUUGGUCCCAGUUCGUGAAUGAACCUGAAUUAAUGCCCUUAUCAUGGCCUCAACCAAAACCCUAUUUUCUACUAGUGGGGGGCAGGUGCCUAACUUCAGGAGGGCGCCAACCGUCGGGGAUUUGGGAGGGAGAAGAUACUGGACAGUCUACCCAUUGCGGGUCAUGGUAUGACAUGGGAUGCCGGAUCGUGGCCUCGGUGGGGGAGGAGGAUGGAAAGAGGGUAGCACGCUUCUGAUUUUCCUCAAGUUAGGAGGGUGGUUUCGAGAACACCAUCGUAAUUAAUUUGCAACUUAAAACAUAAAACAUGAUUUCAUUUGUGUCCUUGAUAUGUUUCACCGAGAAAUGUUAGCACUUGGUUUUUGAAACAUAUAUAAUGGUCUUACAGGGAAAAAAAUAUAACCGGGCAUGUAUGAGUCACCAUUUUUUCAUAAAAAAAUUACAACAAGUAGCUGAGCGGUGAGCCGAUCCCCACACUUGCAAGGAUUGUCACCUCUCUCGGGCUGGCUCCUUGGACGCCGCAACCUUAAUUGCAUAUAUCAGAUGGUGAUUGCUAUCGAUUGAGCAUUAGAUGGACUUGGAUGAUGGUGAAAAAUUGUUGUAGGCCUGGAACUUGAGCUUGCCACCGUACUCCUCGGGGAGCUGGGACUCGUCAAUGGCGUCUCUAAGCGUGGCGUCGAGGUCCCUAUCAGCGACGAACACAAACUUCUUCUUGGUCUUGUCAUCAAUAAAGGGGUACACCAUCUUCCAGGCAGCCAUGAAUAUGUAGGGCACGUGGAUCAGUAACACACGGCCCACCCUCUCCGGGUAAUAGCUCUGCAUGAUGUCCAGCCCUGCCAGGUACCCCCGCAUGUCGCAGUUCGCGUACCCCCAUCCCUUCAGGUCUAUCACUGCCGCAAACUUCUCCUGUCCUGCGGACAGCCUAUAACGAUUCAGACAAACCCAUCAGUUAACCACUCGAUCAAUCUACUGUUAGCUAGCUAGUUAGCAGACUGUGAAUGCAUGCAAAACUGAUGGAUCUAUCUGGGUCCAUACCUGGUGCAGCUUUUCUCAAAAGCGUAGGCCACGUAGCGCUUGAGAUCUUCGUGAUCACCCCGGACGGGGAAGUGGCACCCACCAUAGAGAUACGACAUGGGGCGACCAAGACGGUCAAAACCCUGGUGGUGGUCCCUUCCCUUUGCGAUCUCGCCCCGCACCUCGUCGUCCGAGAUAAAGCCAUGGGGCAUGGUGACACGCUUCCAGGCAAGGUACCGGAGAAGCAUCGCCGACGCCUUUUUGAUGUUGUGCUCCCGGGCACGCAGGAACCGCCGUAGCGCGAAGUCAUCCUCCUCCUGCACACGAACGAUAGCGAUAGAUGAACAAUUGGAUCAUCAUCCAGGUGUGCAUACGUGAUUGGAAGGCAGGUUCUAUGAGGAUGAUCGAUUGACAGAGAUGCAUCUAUCAAGAUGGGAGUGUUGGAUAUGGACUGACAAGAGACUGAUGAACCACCCGUACGUCCUCUCCUCUCAAACACUAACAGCUAAUUAAGCUAGCACAGCAACCUAGUUGACCCGUGCAGUUCACUGAAGGGGAAAUUAAUUGACCAUGCAUCCAGUGUGGUGUGAUUGAACUGGUCGAUCACGGCGAGGCGUACGUAGUCUACUUAGUCAGGCAAAAAGUUGACGAGGAAUCUCAAGAGACGAUGGAUAUUUUAUGAUGCCAAAAAUGCAGGACCUACGGGUGGGAUAUACUUGUAUGAUGCGAUACCUUUGCUGAGGGGUCCUGUGCCUCGACGACCUCCCUGAGCUCCGCCACCUUCUUCCACUCCGCCGCGUCACCGUCGCCGCCAUGGCCAUAUUGGCGCUCAUCAGUACCGCAAUCCAUAUUGAUCCCUGCUCCGAUGGUGGCGCUUGAUCUAUAUUGUGUUGGUGAGAGAGUGGCGAGAGGAUGGAUCGGUUCUUAUAGCUGGAGAAGGCUUGGCCUUGGGGUGUAAGAGGCAGAGAGAAGGGUGGUCAGUUGGGCUGUGAGGGAGUGAGUGAGGUGUCCCACUCCCAUCUACUUCUUGAUGGUGUAUAUUGAUGGAUUGGUUGACGCUGAAAUGGACUUCAACCUGCUAGGAGUAAUCUCCUAACUUCAAAGCUCAUCACAUCCCGACCGCGAAACUUAGUUAGGACUUAGGACCCUGGCCGGUCUGUAUAUCAAGAUUGCUACCGCUCAGUCUAUGAAAAAGAUUCUUCCGUUUUGGCUCCAUGUGUCAGAAAGCAGAAGCGCGUACGCAUCAACUUAUUUACUCGCCCGUGACACUAACAUCAUCAUAGUAACAUCUCUCGGCAGUUGCGUUAGUAACAUGAACGUACAACACUCGCUUUCUUUGUUAUUGAUAAGGGCAUCUCCAAUAGAUUGUAUGUUAGUCUUGUUGGUAAAUUGUCCAUGUCAUCAACCAACAAGCUAUCAUACAACUACUCCAAUGGGUUGUAUCUAAGCUAUCCAAUAGAUGUUGAGAAAAUAAAUGUGAUUGCUCUCUAUUUCACCUUGGAGCUUGUGCAAAGGUUGUUGGUUAUUCUACAUACAACUUUGAUCUCUUUCCACAUUUAUUACAUGCCAUAUCAUCACUAUGUCCUAGGUGGCAGAUUUACCAACACCUAUCUUACAGCUGUUGGAGAUGCCCUAAUAAGGAACUUGGCCACUUGGGAACUUAACAGUGAAGGCUAAUGGCGGAUGGAGACAGUACUAAACAAAACUACACAUAACUUGAGAGAGAGAGAGAGAGAGCUUAGGAAGAUGCUAUGAGCAGUGAUGUGAGUGUGUCUCUUCGCCGAGAGCCAAAGCACGGGCACUCGACAAACGUACAGAUGCCGAGAGCCAUAGUCGGCAACCACGGCUUCACGGCAACUAGCUAACAUUGCCGACACGAACUCACGGCGAACAAACAACGCACGGCAAGAGGCAUAGACGCUGUGAGCACCACACGGCAAAGAGAAGCCACGUGGCAUGCCCAUUCGCAACUAACGGCGCCGUCACUUUCUGUUACCUAUACCAAGAGCCGCGAUGGUUCGGUCAGCAAAAGUAUGUCACAGAAACAUUCAAACCUGACAUGUGGUCCAACUGGUCCCAAUUAUCAGUAAAACACACUGUUUUAAAUAGCCCGCCUAUAGUUCCGCUAUAGCACGCUAUAGCGUUUACAAAAGAUCUUGCGCUAAGAAACUUUGGUCCAAACAAAGGAACAAACAUUUUAAAUAGCGCGCUAUAGCUCCGCUAUAGCGCGCUAUAGCAUUUGGAAGAGGUCCGCCGCUAAGAUGCUUAGUGUGCUAUUUAAAACUAUGGUAAAACUAAAACAUUCAAAUUAUUUGUUAAUUUUUUAAAAAGAAUAAUAUGAUGCGUUGUCUUUAGCGAGAGGUUCCUUCUUACCGCUCGGUAUACGACCAUUGACGGAAACCUUCAAACAUGACCUAUGGGCCCAAGUGUCCCAUAUGACAGUUGAAAUUUUAUCGAGUGUUACAGCUCUUGGAAAAGAGUGGCACAACUGUAGUAGUUAAAGUGCUCAGAUGACCCUUUUCCAAAAGGGGCCCUUGGAAAAGAACGCGCAACAGUAGUUAAAGUGCUCAAGCGACCCCUCUGAGAGCAGCGCUCGUGAAUGGCUCUGUUUCCGAGUGUGGCUCUCGGAAAUGUGUCCCAUUGCUUCUGUUGUCAAACUGUUUCUUAUCUAAUCCCUACAACUGAAAACAACUAGAGUGCGUUUUCUGUCUAUAUCUUCAAUGUAGAAAAUGUUAUCAUAACAAAUGAAUGUGGGAGCUCCUAGCCCCCUAGAAAUUCAUCGAGCAACACAUCGCACACACAGGCAUAAUUUAAAGUAGUUCACAUAAGCAUAACUCAAACUAGUUCACAUAGGCCAAUGUUUCAUACUAGUACACAUCACACACAAGUUCACAAAUUCAUACAUAGGGUGAACUUAUGGAAGUUCACUACUUGCAAAACACAUGUACAUCGCAUAGAAGUUCACAUUUUCAUACAACAUCUUGAGGCGGAGGAAGGGCAUCAUUUCCAUCGGGUUAAGCUACUGGAGGAGGAGGAGGAGGAGGGGCAUCAUUUCCACCGCCUUGAAUUGCAUAAGAGCCUAUAAGAGUAGAGCCACGUGAGAAUAGUUCGUUGCUAUAUAAUGAAUGGGGCCAAAUUUAGAGAAUGUUCUACCUCUAGUUUUUUCUCGAGCAGCUUGAACCUUUCGUUUGCUUCUGCUCGUUCCUUCUCUCUUCUCUCCUCAGCAUGCUGCCUUUGCUCCUCUUCAGCAGCCCGAGACAGUCUACCCAUUUGUGCGUCGUGGGCCGACCUGGGAUACCGGAUCUAGGUGUCGGUGGGGGAGGAGGAUGGAAAGAGGGUAGCACGCGUGUGAAUUUCCUCAAGUUGGUAGGGUGGUUUUAAGAACACCAUCGUGAUUAAUUUGCAACUGUCAAACAUAAAACAUGAUUUUAUUUGUGUCUUUGAUGUGUUUCACCAAGAAAUGUCAGCGCUUGGUUUUUGAAACAUAUAUAACAGUCUUACAGGAAAAAAAACAUAUAUAACGGGGCACAUAUGAGAGUCACCAAUUUUUUCGUAAAAAAAUUACAACAUGUAGCUGAGCGGUGAGCUGAUCUCCCACACUUGCAAGGAUUGUCACCUCUUUCGGGCUGUCUCGCCGGACGCCGCAACCUUAUUUGCAUAUGCCGGAUGGUCAUCGCUAUCGAUUGAUCAUCAUAUGGAUUUGGACGAUGGUGAACUAUUGUAGGCCUAAAGCUUGAGCUUGCCACCGUACUCCUCAGGGAGCUGGGACUCGUCGAUGGCGUCUCGAAGUGUGGCGUCAAGGUCCCUAUCAGCGACGAACACAAACUUCUUCUUAGUCUUGUCAUCGAUUAAGGGGUACACAAUCUUCCACGCAGCCAUGAAUAUGUAGGGCACGUGGAUCAGGAACACGCGGCCCAGCCGCUCUGGGUAAUAGCUCUGCAUGAUGUCUAGCCCUGCCAGGUAUCCCCGGAUGUCGCAGUUCGCAUACCCCCAUCCCUUCAGGUCUAUCACCGCCGCAAACUUCUCCUGCCCUGCCGGCAGCCU
rnacentral:lncRNA from 1 species